rnacentral:rRNA from 1 species
AACUUGAGAGUUUGAUCCUGGCUCAGAACGAACGCUGGCGGCAGGCUUAACACAUGCAAGUCGAGCGCGUAGCAAUACGAGCGGCAGACGGGUGAGUAACGCGUGGGAAUCUACCCAUCUCUACGGAACAACU